rnacentral:rRNA from 1 species
UACGAAGGGGGCUAGCGUUGCUCGGAAUCACUGGGCGUAAAGGGUGCGUAGGCGGGUCUUUAAGUCAGGGGUGAAAUCCUGGAGCUCAACUCCAGAACUGCCCUCGAUACUGGCGAUCUCGAGUCCGGAAGAGGUGAGUGGAACUCCUAGUGUAGAGGUGGAAUUCGUAGAUAUUAGGAAGAACACCAGUGGCGAAGGCGGCUCACUGGUCCGGUACUGACGCUGAGGUGCGAAAGCAUGGGGAGCAAACAGG